GGGGAGUUGGCUCAGUGGUAGAGCACUUGCCUCACAUGCAUGAGGCCCUGGGUUCGAUUCCUCAGCACCACA
rnacentral:tRNA from 1 species